CCUACGGGAGGCAGCAGUGGGGAAUCUUGCGCAAUGGGCGAAAGCCUGACGCAGCCAUGCCGCGUGAAUGAUGAAGGUCUUAGGAUUGUAAAAUUCUUUCACCGGGGACGAUAAUGACGGUACCCGGAGAAGAAGCCCCGGCUAACUUCGUGCCAGCAGCCGCGGUAAUACGAAGGGGGCUAGCGUUGCUCGGAAUUACUGGGCGUAAAGGGAGCGUAGGCGGAUAGUUUAGUCAGAGGUGAAAGCCCAGGGCUCAACCUUGGAAUUGCCUUUGAUACUGGCUAUCUUGAGUACGGAAGAGGUAUGUGGAACUCCGAGUGUAGAGGUGAAAUUCGUAGAUAUUCGGAAGAACACCAGUGGCGAAGGCGACAUACUGGUCCGUUACUGACGCUGAGGCUCGAAAGCGUGGGGAGCAAACAGGAUUAGAUACCCUGGUAGUCCACGCUGUAAACGAUGAGUGCUAGUUGUCGGCAUGCAUGCAUGUGGUGACGCAGCUACGACAUAAGUACACGUCCGCCGUCGGGGUAGGUACGGGUACCGGCGAAGAAGUUAAAACGUUAACGUAAAGGUUAAAGUUAGUACGGACGUUGAGACGUUGCCGACGGACGACGACGAGGGAGGAGG
rnacentral:rRNA from 1 species